rnacentral:misc_RNA from 1 species
AACGCAAAUUGCACUCCCUGGUAUUCCGGGGAGUAUGCCUGUUUGAGGGUCGUCAGAAUAAAAAUCGAGGCGUCGCUCUUUUUUUUAAGGGUGAUCGUGUCGGAAUUGAGCCGUCUUUCAAAUGUUAAUUCAUGUCAAAGUGGCUUAAAAUUCAUCCAUCCGGUACGAUUAAAGCGUAUUUAAGAUCAAUUUUGAUUAAGAACGCGCGAUGACGUACCAUCUCAUGUAGUACGUUUGACUUGGCGUCGUCAGGAUCAUUCGUAUACGAUACUCAACUUUUGACCUCAAAUCAGGUAAGAAUACCCGCUGAACUUAA